rnacentral:tRNA from 1 species
GGGUAUAGCUCAAGUGGUAGAGCACAUGCUUAGCAUGCACUAGGUCCUGGGUUCAAUCCCCAGUAUCUCCA